rnacentral:lncRNA from 1 species
AGUAGCUCUCUAGGCCUAGGUACCGGUGGGAGGGAGGCUGGCGGAGGGGGAGACAGCACCCCCAGUUUUUUUUGCCCAGCCUGUUUGUCUAGGGAAACUCGGAUCCCCGGGCCCUCCUUUUCCUUUACAGCAGUGUUCUUCGUUCCACUCCUGACCGACAGCACAGCCAGGGCCUUCUAUUCCAACACCUCUUCCAGCGACCUGGUCAGGUGUGGCCAAUGGAAGCAAGAGCCCAGUGAAGUCGCCUAAGCCCGAGGGCAUGUUGUAACUCACAAGGAGCACAACCCUACUUGGAAUGGAUCAUUCGUGGCUUUAGAAUCUUAAUGGACAUGUGCAACUGUCGGCACAAUCUAUUUAAGAGUAUUCUGAGCCCUCAGAGAGCAGCCACCUGCCCACAGGUGACCAAAUCCUUAUCCUCAAUAACCCUUCUAACUGAGCAGCCAACAAGCUGCCCUCUACCUAUUCAGGAUGGCCUAGGAAUGGCUUCAUGCAGUAGGUGGCCUUCUGUGAUUGGCUCCUUUUCCUUGGUUCUUAUGCAUUGCUGUGUCAAAGCACGCAUCCAUUCUCGUUCCUUCUCAUGGAUGAGUUACUUCAACGGUAGACAGACCACCUUCCGGGUAUGUGUUCAUCAGUACAUGGGCAUUUAGGUUGUUCCCAUGUCCAGACACUAUGAUUUUCUAUGUCUCUAGACAGUUUGAAUCAU